UGGAAGUGCACUGAGCUAAGUACUUUAUAAUUAUCUCAUUUGAUCCUCAUACCAACCCUCUGAAAGUAGGGACUAUUAUAACACUGAUUUUACAGAUGAAUGCAAAGAGAUUAAGUGAUUUACUCAGGAUCACAGAACUACAAAGUGUCUGUGUACAGAUUUGAACUUGGGUCUUCUGGACUCCAGGUCUAUUGCUAUCCCUGUAUACACUAGAUAAAGUGGAGAAUUUACAAUUAGUUAUGGUCUAAUCUAGUAUGAUCUAAGUGAUUCUUUAGUGUCUGAAUUAUCUCCAUUCAAAAAUUUGUUUUCAUAAUUGAAAGAUUAGCUUUAAUUAAAUUUUGACUCUUAAAAGCUGUUAAAUCACUGUUCCUUAGACAUUUCUACAAAUCCUUUCAGUGAAUUUCUCCCCUUCUGUUGGAAUCGCUAAGCUAGCUACUUCAAUUGUUAAAUGUCUUUUGAUAAAAAUUUUUCCUGGAGAAAGUACAGCAAAUUUUACAAUUACUGGAUAAAAUAUGCAAACAUGUUUAUAUAUAAUAUAUGAUACAGAUAUGUGUAAAUAUAUAAAAGAAUUUCAUUGCUAAUGCUUUCUCAAUGACUGAUCCUAACUGUUAACUCUUGCUCAAUCAAAACGUAACAUAAAAAUUGUCUCCAUGUAUUUUCAGAGAUUAUUUCAAAUCAGCUUUAAUUUCAAACAUAUUUAUUUUUAUGUAUUGCAUUUGUUUUUCUCUGUGAAAGUUACACUUAAAUGCCUCCUUUUUGUAUGUAGGUGACCCUGUGUUCUGAAUGUCCAAUUUGUCAGAGCUCAAUCUAUGUACAAAAGGCUCUGAAGGAAGUGGCCACAGUACCAACAAGUUUCCAUAGGAGAGAGUUCAGUAGAAGUCUGGAGAAUCAAAAUGGUCUUCACUGCCUCAGGGAGAAGAAGGAAAAGAUGCCAACCCCUGGCUAACUGCAUCCACCUCAAUCAUGGAAAUAUAAAGAUAAGGAGCAUCCAAGGAGAUGCAUCACUGCUAUUGCAUGCCUCAUAGCCCUCUACAGAUGUGACCCUAAGAAUCUCUGAUGUGUCCCAUAAUGGAACAGUGCCAUUGCCUUUGCAAAAGGAACCCACCAGCAUCUGGAAUUAUCAUUGCUCUUUGAUUUAGAUCUUUUGAAGAUUUCUAGUUCAGAAUUCUUUUUCUGUCACUGGGGGUUUGUGAAGAAAUAAUUUCCUGUAUUUGAUGCUAUCUUCA
rnacentral:lncRNA from 1 species